CGCCUCUUGCACUUUCCGGCGAGAUUCCAACUACCCCGAGCCUCUUGUUUGACGAUCUGUGAUUAGUUAGGCUACGACGGUGACGGGGAAGAGGUGUGGGUCUGGGCUCGUGGUCUUCCUCGUCUCAGAUGCGGGCUCAAUGGUGGGGAUGGGGAUCGACGUGAUGAGAAGAAUCAUCUUCCUCUCCUAUAUUUUACUGAAUUUGAUUAUUUAUCUAUAUUAGGUGAAAGAUGCAUCUGAUUUCUUAUGGGGAUGGGUUUUUUUUGGUUAUUAUACUUGCUAACUUUACUGCAGUUUGUAUAUCAUUCAUUUGGUUUUUCUUUUCCCUUUCUUUUCAUUGCAUUGUUUGGUGAAAUGUUAUACUUUUCUAUUGGGUGUCUUUGUGAUUUACUGAUUUUGAUAAAUGCUAUGCAUAUUUGUUUGGUGGGUUGUAGGAACAUCUGCUUGUCCAAAUGGAAGAUUCUAUUGUCAAAAUGCAGGGCAUGCUCCUAAAGUGUUAUUCUCUUCUAGAGUGAAUGAUGGUAUAUGUGUCCUUAAUCUCAGUCUGCUGUGAUGGGAGUGAUGAGUAUGAUGAUAAAGGGAAAUGCCCUAAUACAUGUUGGGAGGCUGGGAAAGUUGCAAGGGGCAAAUUGAUGAAAAAAAUUGCGACUUCAAGAGGGUGUUGCAAUAAGAAAGCAGGAAAUUGAACUACCAAAAACAGCUAUAGCUAAGGAUGAGGUCGAGCUAUCACAGCUACAAAAUGAAGAGAAAACACUUAAAGGACUUGUCCAGCAGCUUAGAGGAUGCUGUGGACGUCCAUGACAGUUUAGCUGCUGAAGCUGAACAUGGUGAUGCUUCCAGAAAGGAAAGGUCCUCAGUUCAAGGUGUAGAACAGGUAAUUAAUACCAAACAUGUUUCAUGUAAUUAGAAAUUGAUUGCAGUUUUACUUUCAUAUAUUUUAAAGAUUUUUAUUAGAGCUUAUCCGAGUUUGAAUUAUAAAAAAAUAGUUUCCUAGUUGAGUUAAGACUUCUUAUUUAUGGCUAUCUGUAAAAUAUUUUUGUACUUAGUGGAGUUUGAAUAUCUUAGAUAUUCAUCCGUAGUGAAGUAGGUUCUGGGAAUUCUGUGUGCUGCGGUGAUAACGGAAGGUUGAAAACUUGCAUGUCUUA